rnacentral:rRNA from 1 species
UACGUAGGGGGGCAAGCGUUGUCCGGAUUUAUUGGGCGUAAAGAGCGUGUAGGCGGCCAUACAGGUCAGCUGUGAAAACUCGAGGCUCAACCUCGAGACGCCGGCGGAAACCAUCUGGCUAGAGUCCGGAAGAGGAGAGUGGAAUUCCUGGUGUAGCGGUGAAAUGCGCAGAUAUCAGGAAGAACACCCGUGGCGAAGGCGGCUCUCUGGGACGGUACUGACGCUGAGACGCGAAAGCGUGGGGAGCGAACAGG